UACGUAGGGUGCGAGCGUUAAUCGGAAUUACUGGGCGUAAAGCGUGCGCAGGCGGUUUUGUAAGCCCGAUGUGAAAGCCCCGGGCUCAACCUGGGAAUGGCAUUUGGGACUGCAAGGCUUGAGUGCGGCAGAGGAGACUGGAAUUCCUGGUGUAGCAGUGAAAUGCGUAGAUAUCAGGAGGAAUACCGAUGGCGAAGGCAGGUCUCUGGGCGGACGCUGACGCUCAUGCACGAAAGCGUGGGGAGCAAACAGG
rnacentral:rRNA from 1 species